rnacentral:rRNA from 1 species
UACAGAGGUCUCAACCGUUGUUCGGAUUCAUUGGGCGUAAAGGGUGCGUAGGCGGUCGCGCAAGUCGGAUGUGAAAUCUUAGGGCUCAACCCUGAAACUGCAUUCGAUACUGCGUGGCUCGAGUACUGGAGAGGAGACUGGAAUUUACGGUGUAGCAGUGAAAUGCGUAGAUAUCGGAAGGAACAUCAGUGGCGAAAGCGGCUUCCUGGACCAGUACCGACGUUCAGGCACGAAAGCGUGGGGAGCAAACAGG